AAUUAAUUAAAUUAAUUAAACUGCGCAUGCGGUGCGAGCCGAUUAGAUCGGCAGCUGGCAGUUCUUCAGUUAAUAAAAUGCAUAACAAAUUCAUCAAAACAAUACUGACAAUGAAAAAAAAAGCUUACAAAAAAUAUAGCGUCAUAUUUCAAUUAUUCUGGAAUGACAAACCAAAGAUAGCUAAUGCAAAAAAAUCUAGGAUUUAUCAGAUCUAUCUAAUAAACAAUAUUUUGAAUCAAAAUGAACUUUAUAUUGGGUGCAUAUCCAGAGAUCUAAAUAUCUAGCUAACUGAGUGCCAAACCAAUCUAAAAAACUACCACCAACCUCAAUUUUUCUCCCUAGAACACAAUAUUUUUGUCAAAAUGCUCAUAUAAUUCAGAAUUCUACUAUAGAGAUUUCCUUCCAAGCUGCAGAAAUCACUUAUAACAGUGGUUCCCAGACUGUGCAUCAUGAUACCCUAGGGUGCUGCAGAAUCCUUUCAUUUCUUCAUAAGCCUAUAAGAAAAAGUAUUAUAAUGGGGAGCUGCAGCUGAUAGCCAGUAAGUCAAGAGAGCCAUGAGUCAAAAAAGUUUUAAAUCAUAUAUCAUUAGGCAAUCAAAAAAUAGCAUGUUAUUAACAAGUGAGACCUUAAUAACAUCAAGUCUGGUUAUGAUGCAUCAGUUAGUAUAUCUCAUCUUGCACUGGACAUCUGUUGUGAAUAUAUAUAUAUAGAGGUCCUCAAUAUACAUCGUAAUUAUGUUUCUAAAAAGCAUGACUUAUAUCAAGACAACUUUUAUCAAAUCUUGACUUCCCAUUGAAUUAAUGUAUUAUUUGGACUUGUGUUCCAGAUUAACUAAAAAAAUUCAAAUUUAUAUUGAAAUAUAG
rnacentral:lncRNA from 1 species